rnacentral:rRNA from 1 species
AACGAACGCUGGCGGCAUGCCUAACACAUGCAAGUCGAACGAGAUCUUCGGGUCUAGUGGCGCACGGGUGCGUAACGCGUGGGAAUCUGCCCUUUGGUUCGGAAUAACAGUUGGAAACGACUGCUAAUACCGGAUGAUGACGAAAGUCCAAAGAUUAUCGCCAGAGGAUGAGCCCGCGUAGGAUUAGCUAGUUGUUGUGGUAAAGGCGCACCAAGGCGACGAUCCUUAGCUGGUCUGAGAGGAUGAUCAGCCACACUGGGACUGAGACACGGCCCAGACUCCUACGGGAGGCAGCAGUGGGGAGUAUUGGACAAUGGGCGAAAGCCUGAUCCAGCAAUGCCGCGUGAGUGAUGAAGGCCUUAGGGUUGUAAAGCUCUUUUACCCGGGAUGAUAAUGACAGUACCGGGAGAAUAAGCUCCGGCUAACUCCGUGCCAGCCGCCGCCGUAA